rnacentral:lncRNA from 1 species
GAACUUCAAUGUUCCAUAUCCAAUCCAAUGAUCCAAGAGGUGGUCACACGGCAUUUUGGGAACAUCUUUCUGGUUAGAUAAAAGUUAAUUAAUUAAUAAACCAAAAAGUUUAUAUAGAAACCUGUAAUGGAAAAAUAAAAAGAUUUAGCAAAAAAAUAAAAAAGAUUUAAAAUAAAUAAAGGGCAAAUCUCCAAAAUAGCACAUUUCUAAGUUUAUAUCAUAAAAAUAGCACUCCAAAACUAAAAUGACCAAAAUAGCACAUUUCUAAGUUUAUCCUUUGAAAAUUUUAAUUUUUUUAUUUUUCAAAAUUUGAAAUCUUAUCCCCAAAAACUCAUUUCUCAACACUAACCCUAAACCUUAAACUCUAAACCCUAAACCCUAAACCCUAAAUUCUAAACCCUAAACCCUAAACUCUAAACCCUAAACCCCAAACCCUAAACCCUAAACCCUAAACUCUAAACACUAAACCCUAAACUCUAAACCCUAAACCCUAAACCCUAAACCCUAAAUCAUAAACCC